rnacentral:rRNA from 1 species
GAUGAACGCUGGCGGCGUGCCUAAUACAUGCAAGUCGAGCGAACAGACGAGGAGCUUGCUCCUCUGACGUUAGCGGCGGACGGGUGAGUAACACGUGGAUCACCUACCUAUAAGUCUGGGAUCACUUCGGGAAACCGGAGCUAACACCGGAUAAUAUCUUGAACCGUAUGGUUCAUUAGUAAAAUGCGGUUUUGCUGUCACUUCUAGAUGGAUCCGCGCGGCAUUAGCUAGUUGGUAAGGUAACGGCUUACCAGGGCGACGAUGCGUAGCCGACCUGAGAGGCGGAUAGGCGGCCUGAGAGGGGGAACGCCGACAAGGGGCCUGCGGGACGCAGCAGAAGGGUACGGGACGCAGUAGGCGAGAACCUGGCGCAACAGGGCGACGUCAGAGAUAGAAAUGUCGCGAGCGUGAUACUGGGUUAUGGGGGGAGAACAGAUGUGGAAGGAGAUGUGGCCGGAUUGACGGUACCUGGUCAAGAAGCAACGGCUAACUACGUG